UAGAGUUUGAUCCUGGCUCAGAACGAACGCUGGCGGCAUGCCUAACACAUGCAAGUCGAACGAUGCUUUCGGGCAUAGUGGCGCACGGGUGCGUAACGCGUGGGAAUCUGCCCCUUGGUUCGGAAUAACAGCUAGAAAUGGCUGCUAAUACCGGAUGACGACGUAAGUCCAAAGAUUUAUCGCCGAGGGAUGAGCCCGCGUAAGAUUAGCUAGUUGGUGUGGUAAAGGCGCACCAAGGCGACGAUCUUUAGCUGGUCUGAGAGGAUGAUCAGCCACACUGGGACCGAGACACGGCCCAGACUCCUACGGGAGGCAGCAGUGGGGAAUAUUGGACAAUGGGCGCAAGCCUGAUCCAGCAAUGCCGCGUGAGUGAUGAAGGCCUUAGGGUUGUAAAGCUCUUUUACCCGGGAUGAUAAUGACAGUACCGGGAGAAUAAGCUCCGGCUAACUCCGUG
rnacentral:rRNA from 1 species